CUCUCCCUCUCCCUCUCCCUCUCCCUCUCCCUCUCCCUCUCCCUCUCCCACACAUUAUCAAGCACACAGUAACAAGAUAAACUGCAACCCAUCGCCAGCAGGGUAAACAUGCUGAAAUUCGUGCCAUAUGGUAACAGAGCGACAUCCAUGGCGACCGCGUUUCAAUAUAUAAAAAUCAGUGUACGUGGUUCUCCCCUUUGCCGUGAAAUUGAAACUCAAGCCUCCGUGGUAGGUAGGAGAAAUACAAGACUAAAAGACAAGAAUUACACACACGGGAGAGGGGGAAUACUUUUACUUCUUUCUGCGGACCAAUCAGCGUCGAGCAAGCGAUAAACCAAAGAAGAGCGAAGUCGUGGGAGAGCCAAUGGGAAAGCUACUUUUAUUUCACACGUCCGACUGUGGUUACGGAGGGAAUGGGAUCGGUUCACAUACCUUUAAAAAGGUAAAAAGGGAUAUGUUCUUUUGAUUCUCUUCCGCGAGACUCGAAGAAAAGAAAGAGAGAGAAGAAGAAAUCAUGCAUAUUUAAUCGGUGGAAUUCGCCCCACGAUCAUAACCAGUGGCGACACGAAGCCAGCGGCGCACGGAUCCGAACGUGUGUACACUUGCUAAACUGGGUCGUGUGUUCGUGUGUUUGUGUGUAUGUGUGCGUCGUGACGUCGCGAGAAACAGCUGAUCGCAGCUCCCACAACAGAGAGCGAGAGGGUCGAGAGAGGGAGCGCCCCGUCGCCAGAGAUUCGAGACCUUUUCACCCCGAAAACUUGCCCCUUCCGCAGUCGAAAUGGUGCUUGCAGGCGUCCGAAGGGCACCUCUGUCCUCCGGGAGAGACGGCAGCCCGACUUUGCUUUUGAGAAAGUUUUUAUCUUUGACAGACAGGUAUAGACAGAGAUGAUGAUGAUGAUGAUGAUGAUGACUACGAGGGAAAUGAUUAUGAAUAGGGAUGAUCGGGGAUGGUUAUCCUUAAGUAUAUAUAUAUAUAUAUAUAUAAAAGGGAAGAGAGAGAAAGAGAAAGAGAGAGAUAACAGAGAACCGGAUGGGAUAUCGCGGGGCCGUUGCGAAGUGGAAGACAGACAGACAGAGAGAGAGAGAAAAAGAGAGAUAGAGAGAACAGGGAGAAGCGAGGAAUAUAAAAAGACAGAAGGAAGAGUUAAGCCGUCUAGGACUUGGGAAGGAAGGAAGGAAGGAAGGAAGGAAACUUAGGCCAAGGACGCGAACAGGAACCCCUCCUCCCUCCCCCCUCCCUCCCUCCCUGUUGAAGGAAUCUUUGUUAUCUUUUCUCUUCAUAUCUCUCUUGGUCCUGCAACCGCCAUCGUGCAAUGAUACCCAAAUGACUGCCUUCCUUGUGAGUAUGUUUCAAAAAGGUGUGGAUUGAAAUAUUAUCAUUCUCUUUGUUGUUAAAAUCAAAGAGAGAGAAAAUAAAAGUUAUAUGAUGUCUCUCAACAACACGUGUUAUAAUGAAUGUGUAGAAUGUGUGUAGAGAAAGACAUAAAAAAAAAAAUGGGAAAAAGAACGAUACUGAAAAUUCUAUAAUGGGAAAGUAUGUUUUAUUCUGUGUUGAAAGCUAACCUGUGCUACAUGUGUUGUAUCUCUGGUUUAUUUAUGUAAUGUGUGUGUGUAUACCGGUAGGCUCUGAACAUGAAAAUAAACUUGUGUGUAAUUGUGUGUCGGUAUGAACGGGAACACACAAGGGGGGAGAGGAGGGGCGGGGGGGGGGGGGGGGGGGUUAGGGAUGUGUGUAGGGAUGUGUAGAUACAGUGAAAGGGAUUCUCGACCAUUCCGUGAUACAACAUAGGAACACACACAACGCAAAUCCCCCCGCAGGCUAUACCAGAGAGAAGGAUGAACAAAUUUUUUUUUCUAAAUUCUAUUUUGUUUGAAGUGAAUAGAAUAAAAAUGAUUUGGACAUGUAACGUAAAUUUGGAGAAAAGGAAGACUGGAGGAGGAGGGUAGGCCGGGUUUGUGUGUAGCCUGAGGUUGGAAUAGGUCUCAACAUGGGCUUCUGAAAUUAGGCUCAAGUCUAUUGGUUUGGCCUUUUGUGUGUGUGUGUGCGUGUACGUGUGCGGGCAAGUGAGUAUGCGUCCGAGAGAGAGAGAGAGAGAGAGAGAAAGAGAAAGAGAAAGAGAAAGAGAAAGAGAAAGAGAGCAAGGGCAAGAGAGAGAGAGUGUGUGACUGAGCGAGCGUGCGAAAUAAAGUUAAAGAUAGAGAAUGACCGAGCGAGCGAGCGAGCGAGAGAUAGAGUUAAAGAUAGAGAAAGCGAGAGUGAAAGGGAAAGCACGAGAGAGGGAGACAAGCGAUGUAUUCUCUGUGCCUUCUAAUCGUGUGACGACCAUUGAACCCCAAGCAAUUAUAAUAAUGAUCAUUAUUAAUGGUAGCACCAAUGAUUAGCAGGUUAUUAUGAUUUAUAAUUUUUUCAAUCUUUCUGUAGAUGACAUCUGAUUAGGAAGUAACCAUCUUUGGAGGGUUUUUCCCUGUCAGUUAAUGAUUGAUUAGAUCAAGAAUAAAACAUUAAAAUAGAUUAAU
rnacentral:lncRNA from 1 species